UAAAUGUUUGCUUUCACAGUCUCCAUCUAGUCAAUUGCAAAUGCCAAAAAAAAAGAAAAAGAAUAUGUAUCUUAAUGCUGGUUACUGCUCCCAAAGCCAAAUGAAUCCAUGGCCAAAAAUGGGUCACAAAAAGUUUUCGCCCUCUGUGAAUUCGAAAUUAAAAACGAAACCCAACGGGAACCAUCAGAAAAAAAGCUCUGAAGCCAAUGCCCCCGAGCCAAAAUCGCUUUGCACUUUUUCCGUUUAUUUUUUUUGACCCAAAGCGAAAGUCAGACGCUUUCUGUCCGAAUUCGUGUAGCCCUUUGGACGUUUCCAGUUUCCGACUGAUCUGGGCAUGAUAGGUAUCAGUAUUAGGAAACUCUGAGCUUAGGCCUUUUUGAUAUCGGUUGAAAAAAUAUUAAA